UAGGGAAUCUUCGGCAAUGGACGAAAGUCUGACCGAGCAACGCCGCGUGAGUGAAGAAGGUUUUCGGAUCGUAAAACUCUUUUGUUAGAGAAGAACAAUGACGUUAGUAACUGAACGUCCCCUGACGGUAUCUAACCAGAAAGCCACGGCUAACUACGUGCCAGCAGCCGCGGUAAUACGUAGGUGGCAAGCGUUGUCCGGAUUUAUUGGGCGUAAAGCGGGCGCAGGCGGUUUCUUAAGUCUGAUGUGAAAGCCCCCGGCUCAACCGGGGAGGGUCAUUGGAAACUGGGAGACUUGAGUGCAGAAGAGGAGAGUGGAAUUCCAUGUGUAGCGGUGAAAUGCGUAGAUAUAUGGAGGAACACCAGUGGCGAAGGCGGCUCUCUGGUCUGUAACUGACGCUGAGGCUCGAAAGCGUGGGGAGCAAACAGG
rnacentral:rRNA from 1 species